rnacentral:rRNA from 1 species
GGGCUGCAGUAUUUUGACUGUACAMAGGUAGCAUAAUCAAUAGUCUCUUAAUUGGUGACUUGUAUGAAAGAUUGGAUGAAAUAUAGACUGUCUCUAAUUAAUUUAUAAAAAUUAAUUUUUUAGUAAAAAAGCUAAAAUAAUUUUAAAAGACGAGAAGACCCUAUAGAGUUUAAUAAUUUAUUUAAUUAUUAUUAAUAUAUAAUUUUUAAAAUUAAAAUUAAAUAAAUUAUUUUGUUGGGGUGAUAGAAAAAUUAAAUUAACUUUUUUUAUUUAUUUACAUUAAUUUAUGACUAAAUGAUCCAUUUAUAAUGAUUAAAAGAAAAAAUUACCUUAGGGAUAACAGCGUAAUUUUUUUUUUUAGUUCAAAUAGGAAAAAAAGUUUGCGACCUCGAUGUUGGAUUAA